AUACAGAGGGUGCGAGCGUUAAUCGGAAUUACUGGGCGUAAAGCGCGCGUAGGCGGAUAUUUAAGUCGGGUGUGAAAGCCCCGAGCUCAACUCGGGAACUGCAUCCGAUACUGGAUAUCUAGAGUAUGGUAGAGGGAAGUGGAACUUCCGGUGUAGCGGUGAGAUGCGUAGAUAUCGGAAAGAACACCAGUGGCGAAGGCGGCUUCCUGGACCAAUACUGACGCUGAGGCGCGAAAGCGUGGGGAGCAAACAGGAUUAGAUACCCUGGUAGUCCACGCCGUCAACGAUGAGAACUAGACGUUGGCCUGACCCUUGAAUGACUUCGUAAGAGGUUAUUGAAUGGUCAGGUUAGUGUCGAAGCUAACGCGUUAAGUUCUCCGCCUGGGGGAGUACGGCCGCAAGGUUAAAACUCAAAAGGAAUUGACGGGGGCCCGCACAAGCGGUGGAGCAUGUGGUUAAUUCGAUGCAACGCGAAGAACCUUACCUACCCUUGACAUCCUCAG
rnacentral:rRNA from 1 species